rnacentral:tRNA from 3 species
GGUGAAGUGGCAGAGUGGCCUAAUGCACUCCCCUGCUAAGGGAGAGUACGGUUAAUCCCGUACCGUGGGUUCAAAUCCCACCUUCACCGCCA